rnacentral:rRNA from 1 species
UACGUAGGUGGCAAGCGUUGUCCGGAUUUACUGGGCGUAAAGAGCGCGCAGGCGGUCGGAUAAGUCGAAUGUGAAAGCCCCCGGCUCAACUGGGGAGGGUCAUUCGAUACUGUUCGACUCGAAGGCAGGAGAGGGAAGUGGAAUUCCCGGUGUAGUGGUGAAAUGCGUAGAUAUCGGGAGGAACACCAGUGGCGAAGGCGGCAUCCUGGACCGGCAUUGACGCUGAGGCGCGAAAGCCAGGGGAGCAAACGGG